UGAAGCUUUUCUAAGUGGCUCCCAUUUUGGCUGUAAUGUUUCCAAGCGCAUAGCUGAGACAGCACGUUCUUUUCAAUCUCCAGUAAAGACAAUAACAAUUCUCCGUCUUAAAUUGUAUUGUUUAUUUGCGUAUAAAUUGUACCUAACGUUUGAUUAUAAACGUUGAUUGACUUGUUUGGAUAAGUUUAUUGGUAACGUUUGGAAUUCAUUUUGUGUGCAUUUUGAAGGAGUGGAUUAUUGACUGAAGCGCACCAGCUAAACUGAGUUUUUAUGGAUAUAAAGAAGAAUAUUAUCGAACAAAAGGACCAUUUGUAAUGUAACUGGGACCUUUUGGAGUGCCAACAGAAGGAAAUCUUCAAAGGUGCAACUGGCAGAUGGUGUUAAACUCCAGGCGAACAUUAUCACUCGACUGAGCAAAGAACCAUCAAAGUGUAACGGGUGUCGUCGUCGGAUGAAGAGGAAUCAGCGGGAUGUGGUUGGUUGUCGACUGGUGGUUAACCAGAGAAGUGUGGGUCUAAGUGUCUUCCAGGGCCAAUCCUGUGGAGGUGACAUCGAAUACCCCCGGCUAGCUACAAAUUGGUCCCCGGAGGCGAGACAGAGGCCAGGGGGCCAGAGUGAGGGGACCAGCUUCGACCCUCCACGGCUGACACUGUAUCCCCGAAGGGCUCAGCCAAGCUCAGGCAGGAAUGUCGUGUCUUUUUGAUUAGCUCCGUCUUUGCUGGAGGUUCCUGGUGUGCCAACACGGCAAGAGCCCGAGCAGCUGCCCUGGGUUUGGACCUCCCUAGGACCCAGUUUGUCCCUUACCAUCUUCGACCAACACGCCAUAGAAGUUUUGAUCCCAUAAAAACCCACUAUGAAAAUAAUUAUGGCCCCAAAGAGGUUGAGUUUGAGCCUAUCCUUCCGCACAACGUUGAAAUCCAAGGGGAUGGAUAUCCAAAUGACUGGGCCUAUGGACAAAUCUUCCCCAGAGGCUUUCAACCCAAACCGUCUACACUGAACCAUCACGGUUCUGAUCUCAGUUUGGCUGACUCCUCUGUCUACACUCCCAAGGGACAAUUUGUUAGCAGCCACAAGCCCAACUUUGAGCAGGUCAAGAAUUCUGUGCCUCGACCAAAUGCAAUGGUAGCCCCUAGUCAGUUUGAGUACUCAGAGAAAGUGGACAAUCGAGGCUACUAUAAGUCUGUUGUAGUUCAGCCUGUCGCCAGCAGACGUAGAACAGCCCAGAGUGUGGUUUCACGACACCAGAGCAGAGGUGCUGUACCCUAUGGAAAAAGUAUCCUGUGGUCUUGGCCACAGACUUUUCCUCUAAAUCCGCUCCACCAUCCCAGAGUGGACUCAUCAGCCCCCGAGGUAAGACAAUUCUGAUCCCAGGGCAUGGUGCUGUCCAUUCUGUGAUCAAAGAGCUGAAAUAUGAAGCAGUUUGAUUAAGUGUCAGAAAAAACAGGGAUCCGGUUGGUUAAGAUCCUAACGGACAAACUUUCCUUUGCAAACUACCUUUGUCUGAGGAGCCAACCAUACCAUUGGUGAGCAAAUCGGUGACCUUAUGCACUUUUUAAGGGCAAAACAUGUAAGUUGUGUUUGUAAUCCAGUACAUUUACUUAUCCAUGACAUCACUGUUCUGAAUUACUAUUUGGUUAUGUGUUUAUCCUUCAAAUAAAAUGUCCAU
ensembl:lncRNA